rnacentral:lncRNA from 1 species
GAAGGGGUCAAGGAGAACAACAUAUCUCAGGCUUGUGAUGAUACAAUAGUGGACGCCUAUGGAUCGAGAUUUCUAGCUUCAAAACUUUUCUUGGAGUUUUGUAGGUUUUGGUUGCUUUUUGGGAAAAUCUGAACUGAAGGAUGGAUAGAGGGUGUGGAGACUUGUCAUUUGGUGGUGGUUUUGUUCAUUGGAGCACCAGUAGAGGAGCUAUCCAAUCGACGAAGACUCAGGCCAGAAGAAGAUGGGGAAGAAAAAUGAAAUAGUGAUAAAAGAAAAGAAAAUAAAAGAAGAAACUGGAAAGAAAAAAAGAAAGAAAGAAAUGAAAAGGAAUAAAAG